UACCAGCUCGCCGAGUGGUAGGGAUGAUUAUUGGGCUUAAAGCGUCCGUAGCCGGCCUUUCAAGUCUCUUGUUAAAUCCAACGAUUCAAUCGCUGGACUGCAGGAGAUACUGUCAGGCUAGGGGGCGGGAGAAGCCGACGGUAUUUUCGGGGUAGGGGUAAAAUCCUAUAAUCCCGGGAAGACCACAAGUGGCGUAGGCGGUCGGCUAGCACGCGCUCGACGGUGAGGGACGAAAGCUGGGGGAGCGAACCGGAUUAGAUACCCGGGUAGUCUCAGCUGUAAACGAUGCUGGCUAGGUGUUGAAGCGGCUACGAGCCGCUUCAGUGCCGCAGGGAAGCCAUUAAGCCAGCCGCCUGGGGAGUACGGCCGCAAGGCUGAAACUCAAAUGAAUUGACGG
rnacentral:rRNA from 1 species